UAACUGUCUGAAAGAAACUAGGCCUUCUGAAAUAUAGAAGGCUCACCAACUGGUACUCUUCACUCCUGUAUGAUGAAAUCUACUACUUAUCAGGACCCCUAGAUUGUGCCUUAGAACCUGGAAGGAGGGGGUCAAUACAGAUGUACUGGUACAUAGAGCAAUCCAAAAUAAAGCUUUUAUAUAAAUAAAAUAGUUGAGAGCUAGUCAUAAACAUCAUGAAAGAUAUAAUUUUCAAAACUCAUGGGCAUUCUUGAAAAAAACAUAAAAAAACCUUUCUGUCAACAGCAGUUUCGGAUCUUUGUAUUACUUCUAAGUUAGGUGGCACUCCCCUAUAAGUCUGAUAUUCCACGGGCUCUAUGAAAUCCACCAUUUCUCAGUGGGGAAGCCCCCAACCCAAGUGUGCCGCAAGGAUUGGAGUGUCUGAGUCUGAUACGCCACAGGGCACUAGGCCAGAGUAUAAUAAUAUACCCAGAACGGCAAAUCACGGUUUUUGGCAAUGAGUUGUCUGAACUCAUGCCUUCUUCAGAAAAUCACCUCAGCUCUCUUUAUGCCUAAUUUUAUCCAGUUCUGAAUCAUGUAUUAUUCUAGUUUCAUCAUUUGAAAAAUCUGAUUUCAAACAUGCAUUCUAUUCUGUUCUGAAUUACCAUGGCAUUAUCUGGAUUGGUAUUGUCACACCAAGACUUGUAAGUCCUAUUUUUGAGCCCUAAUAUAUCAUGCAUGAUUCUUUCAUUAAAACAUAGUUCAGACCACCCAAACAUGCAAUUUAACAAGCGGAAUUCAUGUUCCGAAAAUAUAAGUCAAAACUAUGCAAAAUUCUAUUUCUUUCAAUAAACAAGUGGUGGUCAUGUAAUCUUUAACAAACUAUGCAACCCUUCUCAUUAUAUGAUUAUGUUCAACAUUCAUCAACAUAAACAACCCUCUCUCUUUUAAAAUAAAAAUCAUAAUCCAAAUAAAACAUUAUUCAAGAUAUUUCAUAACAUGCUUUUCAAGGUGCAUUCAAACUAUUUCAUAGUAUAUCAUAAGUAAAUGAAAAUCAUCACAAAAGAGGGAUUUUUCAUGAAUCAUGCUCUCAAUUCAAUCAUCAACUUUAAAACACAUGCUUACAAUAUAUAAAUAAUUUUAAAUAAAUUUGGAGGAAAGCUUAAAGGCCAAAACAAUAUCAUCAAUGCUUCUAAAGCAUGAAUAUAUUCAUAAAUCUGAAAGACCCUUUCUUAAAACCAAGAUUUUUAUACCCAUGAGAUUUUAGGAAAACUCCUCGUACCUUAAAUUAGAAGCUUUUGAAUGAACUCUAGUUUUUGGGAUGCUAUACGUACGAUAGAUGGGUGCCUCUUGUAGCCCUCGCAAUGGGAAUUUUGAAUCUUGAAGAAUUAAGAAAAACCCACGGUUAAAUCUUGAGAUAUUUGGAUUUUUAGUUUGAAACCCUAGGGUGAUUUUUGAUGAAUUUGAGAGAAAAGAAUCAUAUUUUUGUGUUUUGGGAGUUUAAUCCAGUGUUACAGCUGGAUAAGGGAUGAAAGAUACCCAUUUUGCCCUUAAAAAUGCGGAAACAGAAUCUGAAAUUUUGGUGCGUGAGAUAGGGCGUGCGUCGCACGCUUAUCGCAUGAUGCUACUGUGUUAGUCACUAAAAUGACCAUAACUUUUUGUUCAAGUAUCGGAUUUAGGCAAAAUUGGUAUCGUUAGAAAGUUAAUUCGAAGAGCUUUCAUUUGAUAUAUAGUAGGCACUCUAAUUCAUUAUAUACAAAGAGUUAUAGUCGAUUGAAGUUGACCCAAAUUUCGAUGCUCACUCAAACUCGAAUGAUAGGAAAGCUUUCAACUUGUCCUUGAGUUAGGGGACCUCUAUGAUCUCAAUUCAUGCUUAAAUAGGUUCAUACACUACAUAAUUGAUUAACAUGUCAAAUUUGCAUAGGAUUUAUGGCUUUUAGAUCAUCUAUGCAUAGAAAUGAUGGUUUUUAUUCUAGCCCGAAAUGCAAGGUGUUACACCUAUGCAAUGAAUUAAUCUAAUCUAGUCUAAUUUAGAGACAAUGUUAAAAGAGCUUACUUUUUUCUGGCACAGUCCAAAUAGAUUUAAAACUGCUGCCGGAGCAGUUCUUUACUAUUUUUAUCUUGUCUUGUAUUGGAAAUCUUUGCCUCAAUAUUCACACAACCUCCACCAUCUUGUUGGUUCGCUCCUCAUAAUUGUCUUCAAAGCCAUAAAUAGGUUCGCUCCUCGUAAUUGUAUUCAAAGCCAUAAAUAGGUGGCAUCGGUGCAUUCUCUGUCUAUUUUUCCACCAACAUCAUAAUUGUAUUCAAAGCCAUAAAUAGGUGGCAUCGGUGCAUCCUCUGUCUAUUUUUCCACCAACAUUUCCUCCAAUUUCUUCUCUGGCAUUCUGCCAUUUGGUAGGAAACUAAUUUCUUGUUCAGACCUCUCAAUCAAUUCUGCCUACGAGUUAUCACUUUAGAAGAACUUUCUUAUGAAU
rnacentral:lncRNA from 1 species